CAGGAUCAGAUAUUCUCAGCCAGUUAUAAAUAAUUCAUAGUGGCUGUAUUCAUUCAUUGCUGCAACACAGACAACUGCAACAGUGACACUUUAGCCUUUCCUGAUAUUGAGCCAAAUGGCCUGAACUGUUCCACCUGCUAUCAAAACUUCUGCAAUACGCUGAAGUGUGUUGGCACACAGGACCGCUGCUUCCAUGGAACUGAUACCUUUCAAUUCCACGGCUGUGUGUCUGCAAACGUGUGCGAACAACGAUAUGAACGGCCAGACGGUUAUUUGUUGUCGAAUUUUCCUUUAGGUGUCGAUGCAUUAAAGUGUUGGAAAGCUUCCCUGCGUGAUUCAGCUCUGACCACCAGACUGAGUUUGUUUCUGUUCC